CUUACAGUGUUGGUGCUGUUUGGAAAUGCACAUUUAUAUUAAGGCUUGAUCCUGUGGAUUAACAGUAGGAUGAUGGUGUAAGAUGGUUGGCAUAUGAGGUGUUCUACAACAUAAGGCAAAGUCUGUUAUUUCAGUGUCUGUGGGUGUUAUACCUUACUUCUAUGAAGACUUUAUUGUAAAGAAAAAGGAAAAAAGAGGGUAACGAGAGAACAUUAAAAAGCACCCAUGAAAGCUUGAAAGUGUCAUGACCAAAAAAAGGGAGAGAAAAGUGACACUGAUCAGUCUAAUGGAGGAAGGUUUGAAGCACUGAAGAGCAAAGCAUAGACUUAACAAAUUGGAAAGAACAAGAAAAGACGGGGAGAGGCUGUGAAGUUGGAGAGGCUACCUUUAGGCCCAGGACACGAACUAACAACUGAGUUUUCACCAUACACCUACACAGCAUGUAAAAAUAUGUACAUGUGGAUAUUUUAAUAUAUGUAAAGAACUUUACUAAGUAAUAGUUAAAUAAAUAAUAAAAAAAGUAGAAUAU